rnacentral:misc_RNA from 1 species
UUUCCGUAGGUGAACCUGCGGAAGGAUCAUUAAAGAGUAAGGGUCUCUGGCCCGACCCUCCAACCCUCUGUUGUUAUAACUACUUCGUUGCUUUGGCGGGACCGCGAAGGUUCUCCCGAGCGCGCCAGUCUCCGGACAGGCGAGCGCCCGCCAGAGUCUAACCAAACUCUUGUUUUAAACCAGUCGUCUGAGUAUAAAAUUUUAAUUAAAUUAAAACUUUCAACAACGGAUCUCUUGGUUCUC